rnacentral:rRNA from 1 species
UACGAAGGGUGCAAGCGUUACUCGGAAUCACUGGGCGUAAAGGGUGCGUAGGCGGGUCUUUAAGUCAGGGGUGAAAUCCUGGAGCUCAACUCCAGAACUGCCUUUGAUACUGAAGAUCUUGAGUCCGGGAGAGGUGAGUGGAACUGCGAGUGUAGAGGUGAAAUUCGUAGAUAUUCGCAAGAACACCAGUGGCGAAGGCGGCUCACUGGCCCGGUACUGACGCUGAGGCACGAAAGCGUGGGGAGCAAACAGG